CAAGUUAUCCUUAGGGGCUAUAUUAUUUACAAUAAUAUAUUGUUUGUGCAAAUCAUACUGACUUGA
rnacentral:tRNA from 1 species